rnacentral:lncRNA from 1 species
GGUUAGUGGUUCAGUCUCUGAGAGCCCUCAGAGGACCUGGUUAGUUAACUCUGUAAGUCUUCUUGUAGUGAAACAUGAAUUUAUAAAGCCAAAGAGUGGUAAGGUGGAGUAAACUACAGGCUUUUUCUUACUUCUCGCUUGCCAAAAACUGGAGAAACCAUCCAUGGACAUGAGUUUUUUAUUGGCUUUGGAGGAAAAGGUGCCAACCAGUGUGUCCAAGCUGCGCGACUGGGAGCAAAGGCGGCCAUAGUCUGCAAGGUUGGCAACGAUUCUUUUGGCAAUGAUUACAUAGAAAACUUAAAACAAAAUCAUAUUUCUACAGAGUUUACAUAUCAGACCAGAGAUGCAGCUACAGGAACAGCCUCCAUAAUUGUCAAUAAUGAAGGCCAGAAUAUCAUCGUCAUAGUGGCUG